rnacentral:rRNA from 1 species
AGACGUCUACAUUAGAUACCCCCGUAGUCCCAGCCGUAAACUAUGCGCGUUAGGUGUAUCGGUGACCACGAGUUACCGAGGUGCCGAAGGGAAACCGUGAAACGUGCCACCUGGGAAGUACGGCCGCAAGGCUGAAACUUAAAGGAAUUGGCGGGGAGCACCACAACGGGUGGAGCCUGCGGUUUAAUUGGACUCAACGCCGGGAAGCUCACCGGAUAAGACAGCGGAAUGAUUGCCGGGCUGAAGACUCUGCAUGACUAGCUG